GACAGAGGAGCCAAGCGUUGUCCGGACUGACUGGGCGGAAAGCGCACGCAGGCGGCGCUGUGCGUGGGGUGUGAAAGCUCUUGGCUUAACUGAGAGAGGCCAUCCCAUACGGCAGCGCUCGAGCGGUGCAGAGGUCCGCGGAAUUGCCGGUGUAGUGGUGAAAUGCGUAGAGAUCGGCAGGAACACCCAGGGGGAAACCAGCGGACUGGGCAUCGGCUGACGCUCAGGUGCGACAGCGUGGGGAGCGAACCGG
rnacentral:rRNA from 1 species